GCCCGGCUAGCUCAGCUGGUAGCGCAUGGGAUGCUUGAUCCCAGGAUUGUAGGUUUGAGCCCCAUGCUGUGUG